CGCGGGAUGGAGCAGUCUGGUAGCUCGUCGGGCUCAUAACCCGAAGGUCGUUGGUUCAAAUCCAGCUCCCGCA
rnacentral:tRNA from 6 species